rnacentral:tmRNA from 1 species
GGGCUUGUACUGGUUUCGACGGGGGUUUUGAAGUCUGAGAAGCCAUCCGCGGGCCGGGACCGCGCAGUAAACCGGACAUUAAAAUUAAACGCAAACAAUAACGAAGAGUUAUUAGCGGCUGCUUAAUGCCGCUUGUCGGCCUCGGGCUGCUCACCACCUGAGAUACCGGCAUCAAAUUGUGUGAGGCCCUCUGUUUCCAAAGCUUUGCGGAGACAGAAGAACUAUGAAGCUACUAAAGCCUGGAGCCCGUCAUUAGGCGCCCGGCGGAGGGAAUGUUAAAAUGAUGACUGUGAUGGGAGAUGCUUAGAUGAAUAGGCUUUCGGACAGGGGUUCGAUUCCCCUCAGGUCCACUC